rnacentral:rRNA from 1 species
UACGGAGGGUGCAAGCGUUAAUCGGAAUUACUGGGCGUAAAGCGUGCGCAGGCGGUUUGUUAAGUCUGCUGUGAAAUCCCCGAGCUCAACUUGGGAAUUGCAGUGGAUACUGGCAGGCUGGAGUAUGGUAGAGGAAGGUGGAAUUCCCGGUGUAGCAGUGAAAUGCGUAGAGAUCGGGAGGAACACCAGUGGCGAAGGCGGCCUUCUGGACCAAGACUGACGCUCAUGCACGAAAGCGUGGGGAGCAAACAGG